rnacentral:snRNA from 1 species
AUGUUCACUUAAGCAGCACAUAUACUGAAAUUGGAAAGGUACAAAGAUUAACAUGGCCACACACAAGGAUGACAUGCAACUUCUUGAUGCAUUACCUAUUUUU